rnacentral:lncRNA from 1 species
AUCUCAUGUGUUUUAGUUAAUAAACAUGAUUAAAACCGUUCAGGAAAAAACUCUGCUAGAUCAGUUUUUUCCUAACAAAACACAAUAAUAAAUGCCAUUAUUAAUUAUGUACCACUUUGUUAUUACUUAAAGAAGGGAAUUUCAGGCUGGGAGGGCAACUUAUUCCUAGAAGUAAUGUUCAAGAAGUCAGUACCUAGGAGCUUCAAUUACUCCCUGAUGAAAUGACAGGCAGCCGUCUCGGCAGCAGCCUCGUUCCCGUCCAGCUCAGGAUUGGCUGUUUCAUUAGCACCAUGUGUUUGCCAGCACUAAAGUUCUGUCCCUUGUUGCAAUAGAAACUCCAACUUUUAGGGUUUAUCAUUCAACUGUUAGAAAAAAAGAAAAGGUUCUGAUAGAUAGACAAGCAAAGUAAAUCAGUCCUCAGUGUGGGUGCCAGCACGGGUGUUUGGGAGUUACACGAGACACAGGAAGAAAGAGAAGCCUUAUGCACUGCAGCUGCCACGCCGGUUCCGACCAUACAGGAGGGUGGAGAUGCUGCGAUUCCGUGCUGCGCUUUCUACGGAACACGUUGCAGGCCCACAAGUGGGACUGCAAUGAGUCAGGGUGAUAGGCCAACAAGUUUUUCAAAGAAAGAAAAAUUGAGUGGUCACAAAACCUGGCAUCCAGUUGGCUAAGUUAGUUCUAAGCUGCAUUUCACAGACGAUUAGGUCUCUCGGCCACUGUACAGCUGGAAGGAGCAGAAGACCUAGACAGUCAGGAGCCCCAGGCCACUCUGUGCACUCUGACUGACCAGCUCUAGCCUCCUGUGUUCUCCCACACAGGGACACACUCCGGGGCUGUUUGCUCCAUUGUUUAUUAGGGCACGCUCUCUCGACCACAAGCGACAGAAACCAAAUUCAAUCAAGUUUAAGGAAGAAAAGAAAAGAAAAGAAAAGGAGAAGAGCUUUUGGCCGGUGAAGCUAAAAAUCCAGGUGUGGUUGUGGAGUAGAAGUUCUGGCUCCUGCUAUGCUGAAACUAAAUGCUCCAACGGUGUGGCCAGGGCUCCAUGUCAGCUCUGUCUCCCCCCGUGUUGGCUUCAUAUCUGGGUUGUCUCUCAAUGUGGUGGGAAGGAUGGUCCUGGUUUCUA